CAUACACCGACACACAUGCAACAAAUGCCAACCUAACAGUUACUAAUACUUGCAAGGAUACAGGUUUCAAUAAGUAAAGACACUGCAACCACUGAUGGACUAUAAUCAAAGUGGAUGCAUUGGAGUCAAAUACAGACAGAAAUGGUGAUACAUUUUAUUUUGAUUAUCAUCAGUGUAAAAGAGUUGCAUGCUGAAGAAAAAUGUCCAGAUGGUAAAUUUGGAAAGAAAUGUGAGACAAACUGUUCCGAGCAGUGUGCACCUAUACCCAAUUCUACAAACAUCCACUGCUUUCGCGGCACAGGGGAGUGCUCGGAGGGUUGCCUUCGAGGCUGGUACGGGUGGACUUGCAACAACAGGUGUGGGGGUAACUGCGUUGGUGACAUCUGUAAUCAACACAAUGGACAUUGUACAAAGUCCUGUAGGAACAACUACUCGGGCAACUUUUGUGACGUUUCAUAUGAAACAGAACAAGCUUCGACUCAUGGAUAUGUAAUAAGUGUAAUUGUCGUCACCGUCCUUGCAAUCCUCGUUGGAGUCGCUGUUUGUGUGAAGUGUACAUCCCGGGCACGCAGUACCAAUGGGGCGACGGAUGCAACAAAUGAAGAAAACAAUCUGAUCCAAGAAAAUCCGGGUAUAGAAUUGGACACGUCAGCUGCGAAAUGAAUCAUUUGGACCCGUUCAGAUGCCUUUUUAUAAUACACAUACAUAUAGUUUUACUACUAGCUACAGAAUGUCCAAUUCGUUAUAAACUAAAGUGUGAUGAUGACAAUAUCUGUAUCGAUGAGUGUGUUCCCGGAUUUUUCGGUGAAUGCUGCGACACACCUUGUCAGAAAACUUGCGAAGGAUUGCGGUGUGAAAUCGAUCGGAACAGAGGCAUCAUUAAAUGUACAGAUGGAUGCAUUGACGGAUAUUACGGUAGCCGAUGUGUAAUUCCAUGUCCAGAGAGUUGCCUGCAAUGUGAUCGGUACACCCACGACAACUGUACCAAGUGUAAGGGCGGCAGAUACGGGAAACAAUGUCAGAAGGACUGUCUGAGAAAAUGUAAUGGAUUUGCUUGCCAUAUGUUGGGGGCGUGUUUAGGGACGUGUAUGGAUGGUCGAUUUGGACACAAUUGUAAUCAUAACUGCAGUUCAAGGUUUCUGUCUUGUCGUCAAGACACAGGACAGUGUGUCCAGUGUGCAGAUGGAUUUUAUGGGGAUAACUGCGAGCGUCAAUGUACAACCUGUAUUGCUGACCAAGAACACUACGCAUGCAAACCAGGUUGCAAAAGAUGUGACGUUACAUUGGCAGGUGUGGUUGUGUACCCAGAGCAUGAUUACUACUGGAUGACAUUCAUAAUUGGCUCAAUGAUAACAGUAGUGUUACUGUUUAGCAGCGUUCCUUUGUUAAGAUAUGUCUGUACCAGAAGAAGUUCACAGGGACCUAUUGCUGACGAAGAAAGAUUGAAAAUGAUGGAAUUCCCAGGCUAACAAAUCCUUUGAAAGUGACUUCACAGGAAUAUGUUGUCAUUAUUUCUAUUUCUUGGAUUAUGAGACAACUGUUACUGACUGGUUUUAGGAACUUCGCAAAUAAUACUGAGUUGAUUAAUUUCAAUUGUUUUUUAUCGUAACAGUAGCUUAAUGGUAUCUCACAUCUAAUGUACAUUAAAAACGUUUUUAUUG